UGAGUUUGAUCCUGGCUCAGAACGUACGCUGGCGGCACGCCUAAUACAUGCAAGUCGAACGAAGUAGCAAUACUUAGUGGCAGACGGGUGAGUAACAUGUGGGUAUCUUCCCUUUGGUGAGGAAUAACACGAGGAAACUUGUGCUAAUACCUCAUAAGUCUUUACGGAGAAAGCUUUAUGCGCCAUUGGAUGAGCCCGCACUUGAUUAGUUUGUUGGUGGGGUAAUGGCCUACCAAGACUGUGAUCAAUAGCUGAUUUGAGAGGAUGAUCAGCCACAUUGGGACUGAGACACGGCCCAAACUCCUACGGGAGGCAGCAGUAGGGAAUCUUGCACAAUGGAGGAAACUCUGAUGCAGCGAUGCCGCGUGAGUGAAGAAGGCCUUUGGGUUGUAAAGCUCUUUCGUCGGGGAAGAAAAUGACUGUACCCGAAUAAGAAGGUCCGGCUAACUUCGUGCCAGCAGCCGCGGUAAUACGAAGGGACCUAGCGUAGUUCGGAAUUACUGGGCUUAAAGAGUUCGUAGGUGGUUAAAAUAGUUGGUGGUGAAAUCCCAGAGCUUAACUCUGGAACUGCCAUCAAAACUUUUUAGCUAGAGUAUGAUAGAGGAAAGUAGAAUUUCUAGUGUAGAGGUGAAAUUCGUAGAUAUUAGAAAGAAUACCAAUUGCGAAGGCAGCUUUCUGGAUCAUUACUGACACUGAGGAACGAAAGCAUGGGUAGCGAAGAGGAUUAGAUACCCUCGUAGUCCAUGCCGUAAACGAUGUGUGUUAGACGUUGGAAAUUUAUUUUUCAGUGUCGCAGCGAAAGCGAUAAACACACCGCCUGGGGAGUACGACCGCAAGGUUAAAACUCAAAUGAAUUGACGGGGACCCGCACAAGUAGUGGAGCAUGUGGUUUAAUUCGAAGAUACGCGCAGAACCUUACCAACACUUGACAUGUUCGUCGCGACUCUAAGAGAUUAGAGUUUUCGGUUCGGCCGGACGAAACACAGGUGCUGCAUGGCUGUCGUCAGCUCGUGUCGUGAGAUGUUGGGUUAAGUCCCGCAACGAGCGCAACCCUCACUUUUAGUUGCCAUCAUUAAGUUGGGCACUCUGAAAGAACUGCCAGUGAUAAGCUGGAGGAAGGUGGGGAUGACGUCAAGUCCUCAUGGCCCUUACGUGUUGGGCUACACACGUGCUACAAUGGUAUCUACAACAGGAAGCAAAACAGCGAUGUUAAGCAAAUCCCGAAAAGAUACCUCAGUUCGGAUUGCACUCUGCAACUCGAGUGCAUGAAGCUGGAAUUACUAGUAAUCGUGGAUCAGCGUGCCACGGUGAAUACGUUCCCGGGUCUUGUACACACCGCCCGUCACACCAUGGGAGUUGGUUCUACCUUAAGGCAAAGCUUAAAACCUUUGACCACGGUAUAGUCAGCGACUGGGGUGAAGUCGUAACAAGGUAACC
rnacentral:rRNA from 1 species